CGGCGAGUGAAGCGGUAACAGCUCAAAUUUGAAAUCUGGCUNCUUCGGGGCCCGAGUUGUAAUUUGUAGAAGAUGCUUUGGGCGUGGCUCCGGUCUAAGUUCCUUGGAACAGGGCGUCAUAGAGGGUGAGAAUCCCGUAUGUGACUGGGUGCCNUCGUCCGUGUAAAGCUCUUUCGACGAGUCGAGUUGUUUGGGAAUGCAGCUCAAAAUGGGUGGUAAAUUUCAUCUAAAGCUAAAUAUUGGCCAGAGACCGAUAGCGCACAAGUAGAGUGAUCGAAAGAUGAAAAGCACUUUGGAAAGAGAGUUAAACAGUACGUGAAAUUGUUGAAAGGGAAGCGCUUGCAAUCAGACUUGCGUGUGGUUGAUCAUCCGAGCUUCUGCUCGGUGCACUCGAUCAUACUCAGGCCAGCAUCGGUUUGGGCGGUUGGAUAAAGGCCUUGGGAAUGUGGCUCCUCUCGGGGAGUGUUAUAGCCCUCGGUGCAAUGCAGCCUGUCCGGACCGAGGACCGCGCUUCGGCUAGGAUGCUGGCGUAAUGGUUGUAAGCGACC
rnacentral:rRNA from 1 species